GGGUGGGUGUUGUAAGGAGUUUCCCUCCCAGGUCAUAGAUUCAGAACUGAAUAACCAACAGAUUCAGAACUGAAUAACCAACAGAUUCAGAACUGAAUAACCAACAGAUUCAGAACUGAAUAACCAACAGAUUCAGAACUGAAUAACCAACAGAUUCAGAACUGAAUAAUCAACAGAUUCAGAACUGAAUAACCAACAGAUUCAGAACUGAAUAACCAAUAGAUUCAGAACUGAAUAACCAACAGAUUCAGAACUGAAUAACCAACAGAUUCAGAACUGAAUAACCAAUAGAUUCAGAACUGAAUAACCAAUAGAUUCAGAACUGAAUAACCAAUAGAUUCAGAACUGAAUAACCAAUGGAUUCAGAACUGAAAAACCAACAGAUUCAGAGUUCUUCAUGAUAUGUUCUGUUAUAUGCAUCAAUACCAGACAUCCCAUUAUCAGAUUUAAGGGAAUAUCCUAGUGUUUACUGAAACAGUUUAUAUGCAUCAAUACCAGACAUCCCAUUAUCAGAUUUAAGGGAAUAUCCUAGUGUUUACUGAAGCUGUUUAAUACUGGACUGUGGAUCUCCAUCCGGGUUUAAUCUCUGCAUCAUAAUAUUUGUGGAGCAACAAACAGGUAGAGCUUUGCUUUUCGUUUCAAGAAAGUAUGACAGGUAUGUACAGCAUUUAAGCAGAUGGAGAGCGAAAGAAGGAAAGAAGGAAAGAAAGAAGGAAGGAAAGAAGGAAGGAAAGAAGGAAGGAAAGAAAGAAGGAAGUAAGGAAAGAAGGAAAGAAAGAAGGAAGGAAAGAAGGAAGGAAGGAAAGAAGGAAGGAAGAAGGAAAGAAGGAAAGAAAGAAGGAAAGAAAGAAGGAAAAAGAAGGAAAGAAAGAAGGAAGUAAGGAAAGAAGGAAAGGAGGAAGGAAAGAAGGAAAGAAGUAAGGAAAGAAGGAAAGAAGGGAGGAAAGAAGGAAAGAAAGAAGGAAGUAAGGAAAGAAGGAAAGAAAAGAAGGAGUAAAUGGGAAAGCGUGAGAGAGAGAGAAUGCCAGAGAGACUGCAGCGUAGCCUGCAUGACCCCUCCUUCCUCGCAGCACGAAAACAAAUGACAUCAGAAAUUCAAUCAGCUGAUGUGGUGACUCAAGCAGCGGCCCCAGGUGUUUUGGAUGCCACCAAGGCCACAUUUCGUGCUGUUUGCCCAGAGGAGGAUAGAGGGUCAUGGAUGAAGAGGGACAUCUCCUUCGGGCAGAUGGUGCCUCCGUGAAAAAGGGUUACCGUGGGGGAGUGAGAGCCCUCAGUGUUCCUGAAGGCAUCGAGACGAAGACAAGGACCUGGGAGCUGACGAAGGCCAGUACACAUGGAGAACCUGGCCGCUGAUGAAGGCCAGUACACAUGGAGAACCUGGCCGCUGACGAAGGCCAGUACUCAUGGAGAACCUGG
ensembl:lncRNA